rnacentral:rRNA from 1 species
CCUACGGGAGGCAGCAGUGGGGAAUAUUGCGCAAUGGGCGAAAGCCUGACGCAGCGACGCCGCGUGAGGGAUGAAGGUCUUCGGAUCGUAAACCUCUGUCAGCAGGGAAGAACGGUCACUGUGCUAAUCAGCAGUGCAUUGACGGUACCUGCAAAGGAAGCACCGGCUAACUCCGUGCCAGCAGCCGCGGUAAUACGGAGGGUGCGAGCGUUAAUCGGAUUUACUGGGCGUAAAGCGCUCGUAGGCGGUAUGUCAAGUCAAGGGUGAAACCCCCGGGCUCAACGUGGGAACUGCCUUUGAAACUGGCAAACUGGAGUGUGUGAGAGGAUAGUGGAAUUCCAGGUGUAGGAGUGAAAUCCGUAGAUAUCUGGAGGAACAUCAGUGGCGAAGGCGACUAUCUGGCACAUAACUGACGCUGAGGAGCGAAAGCGUGGGUAGCAAACAGGAUUAGAUACCCCUGUAGUC